ACGGCUUACCAAGCCAUUGAUCGGUACGGGUUGUGAGAGCAAGAGCCCGGAGAUGGAACCUGAGACAAGGUUCCAGGCCCUACGGGGUGCAGCAGGCGCGAAACCUCCGCAAUGUGAGAAAUCGCGACGGGGGGAUCCCAAGUGCCAUUCUUAACGGGAUGGCUUUUCAUUAGUGUAAAGAGCUUUUGGAAUAAGGGCUGGGCAAGACCGGUGCCAGCCGCCGCGGUAACACCGGCAGCUCUAGUGGUAGCAGUUUUUAUUGGGCCUAAAGCGUCCGUAGCCGGUUUAAUAAGUCUCUGGUGAAAUCCUGUAGCUUAACUGUGGGAAUUGCUGGAGAUACUAUUAGACUUGAGACCGGGAGAGGUUAGAGGUACUCCCAGGGUAGAGGUGAAAUUCUGUAAUCCUGGGAGGACCGCCUGUUGCGAAGGCGUCUAACUGGAACGGUUCUGACGGUGAGGGACGAAAGUUAGGGGCGCGAACCGGAUUAGAUACCCGGGUAGUCCUAACUGUAAACGAUGCGGACUUGGUGUUGGGGUGGCUUUGAGCUGCUCCAGUGCCGAAGGGAAGCUGUUAAGUCCGCCGCCUGGGAAGUACGGUCGCAAGACUGAAACUUAA
rnacentral:rRNA from 1 species